UACGGAGGGUGCAAGCGUUGUUCGGAAUUAUUGGGCGUAAAGGGCAGGUAGGUGGUCUUAAAAGUCUACUGUGAAAUCCCUGGGCUUAACCCAGGAAGUGCGGUGGAUACUCUGAGACUAGAGUGCCGGAAGGGUGCGUAGAAUUCCUGGUGUAGCGGUGAAAUGCGUAGAUAUCAGGAGGAAUACCAGAGGCGAAGGCGGCGCACUGGACGGUAACUGACACUCAACUGCGAAAGCGUGGGGAGCAAACAGG
rnacentral:rRNA from 1 species